GAUGAAGAACGCAGUAAAAUGCGAUAAGUAAUGUGAAUUGCAGAAUUCAGUGAAUCAUCGAAUCUUUGAACGCACAUUGCGCCCGCCAGUAUUCUGGCGGGCAUGUCUGUUCGAGCGUCAUUUCAACCCUCAAGCACAGCUUGGUGUUGGGACUCGCGUUAAUUCGCGUUCCUCAAAUUGAUUGGCGGUCACGUCGAGCUUCCAUAGCGUAGUAGUAAAACCCUCGUUACUGGUAAUCGUCGCGGCCACGCCGUUAAACCCCAACUUCUGAAUGUUGACCUCGGAUCAGGUAGGAAUACCCGCUGAACUUAAGCAUAUCAAUAAGCGGAGGA
rnacentral:misc_RNA from 1 species